GACGAACGCUGGCGGCGUGCUUAACACAUGCAAGUCGAACGGAAAGGCCCUGCGUUUGUGGGGUGCUCGAGUGGCGAACGGGUGAGUAACACGUGAGUAACCUGCCCUUGACUGUGGGAUAACUUCAGGAAACUGGGGCUAAUACCGGAUAGGAGCUCCUGCUGCAUGGUGGGGGUUGGAAAGUUUCGGCGGUUGGGGAUGGACUCGCGGCUUAUCAGCUUGUUGGGGGGGUAGUGGCUUACCAAGGCUUUGACGGGUAGCCGGCCUGAGAGGGUGACCGGCCACAUUGGGACUGCGAUACGGCCCAGAAUCCUACGGGAGGCAGCAGUGGGGAAUAUUGCACAAUGGGCGGAAGCCUGAUGCAGCAACGCCGCGUGCGGGAUGACGGCCUUCGGGUUGUAAACCGCUUUCGCCUGUGACGAAGCGUGAGUGACGGUAAUGGGUAAAGAAGCACCGGCUAACUACGUG
rnacentral:rRNA from 1 species